GGGUGGUCUGUUUCCAUAUAUCUUUUUAUAUUGCGGAAAAAAAAUUUGUCAUGCCAAACGCAACAUUUUCUGCUGAGUUAAGAAAAAGCGGCAAGUAUGGUUUCAUGGGCUCUUGUCCUCUCUGACAACUGCGGCUCCGACCUGUCACGGACACCCCUAAUGUCCAGCAGCAGGCUCUGGAGCCGCUGGCAAAGUGGGAAACCGGCAGCUGGAGCAAAUAUUGUGACAUGAAUAACCUUAGGAGUCACGAUAUAAUCUCACAUCUUUUGAGUAUUUACAAUGUGCCAGGCACGGGUGAAGCAUUUUUCAUGCAUUGACCUCCUUAAUCUUCUCAUGUGUCCUAGAAAGUAUCUAUUGUCAUCGUCUUCAUUUUACAGAUGAGGCAGUGCCGAGAGACAGAGAAGUUGAGGAACCCGCCCAAGGUCACAUAAUUAUUAAGUGACUUCCCACCGUUGCAGUGGCUACAAGCACUGCGGUCAGCAGAGCAGAGAGCUGCCUGCAUUCCCACCAGCGCCGUCCUGCUCUUUAUAACCAACUGGAUUCCCAGUCCCAUAAAAAAGCCUCCUACAUUUAUUUACUUAUAAUGAUUUUGGAAGAAACACUUCAAAGAAGUUUAACUUCGGCAAGUGACGUUCUGUCAGAACCAUUCCAAGGACAGAAGAGAGUGACUGGGACGCAGAUGAUUGCUGAAGUCCUCUCUCUUCCACUGAUUUAUGUUAAAGCUCCAGCUAACGUUUCCAAAGAAGAAAACACAGAAUACUGAGCAUGAAGAUGACGUGUGUGUGGGUACACGGUAAUCUGAAGGUCUGUUUCAUGAGAGGGGAACUCCUUUCCUGUCUGCAGCUUUACGCAGCGGUCCCUGACUCACCUGGACCAGCUCCCCACUCCCUGCUCAGAGGAGCUGACCUCUUGGCCACUACUGCCUGCACUUGGACACAGAGCUCAGGUAAACCAUUUGCCAUUUUCUGAAGUUUCACAUGGUCUGACGCCUCGCAGAAUUUCUUCAGCCUAUGUUGUUUCCUCUCCUCAAAAUGCCCUUGUUCUUCUCAUCCUCCCUGGAUGUCACUUAGUCAUCUUCCAAGAAUCAGUACCAGUGCUACAUCUUCCUGACACAUCGUGCCUUCUAGCAGGUAGCUAAGACUGCCAUUUGUCUGCCACUGAAACCUUGGAUACAGUUCUAUUAAGACAUGUAUCCCAUUUACAACCCUAGAGUGCAUUUGUUGACUUGUUUAUCUAUAGCCCUGGAGUUUCUUCACCUCCUGACUUGUACCUGGAGGACAAGGACCGUGUGUCAUGCAGACUCAAUGUGUUCUCACUCAACAACAUGCUCAGCACACAGAUGGAGCUGAAUAAACUCUGACUGAAUAAAUGAAUAAGAUGUAAA
rnacentral:lncRNA from 1 species